GCCUGUCUCAAAACUCUCUCCUUGGAUGUGCAAGCGAGAGACAAUGUACAUGUGGGGCAUACAUCGGGAUAUCCAGUCCUUUUCCUUCCUCACGCUCCCCUCUCUUCUUUUUCCUCUCUUCUCCUCUUUGCGCGAUUCCUCCUCGCACCAUCGCACCACCAAAUGCCUCUGCACGCCUACUGUGUGAGAUCUCGCUCGCUGCGAGUGAGUUCUCUCCCAGCAGCAGAUAUGGCGACGCACCCAUUCGAAGUGGCUGCCCCGAGCGCAAUCCUGCAGCUGUUGCUGGCAAGAAAUGGAAAUCACCACUCGCGGCGGCGUCGGAGUCCGCAGUCCCACUGAAAUGAAGCUGAAGGAAGAUGUCGAAAGCCAAGGCGCGUACUAUGUUCUUGAAGUACUGAACAAGCAAGUUCUAGCAUAAGAUCCCAAGAAUACAACAGCGCGGUGAUGACCUUAAGGUUCCCUGAAGGGUUCAGGAGCUUCGCAGUGACCCGGAUGUGAUGGGGCGCUGGCUGACGCUUGAAUAAGACUGCUGUGUCUCAGGGUGCUUUGAUGAAGGAGAAGGAAUGGG
rnacentral:lncRNA from 1 species